rnacentral:rRNA from 1 species
UACGUAGGGUGCGAGCGUUGUCCGGAAUUAUUGGGCGUAAAGGGCGCGUAGGCGGUGCCACAAGUCACUUGUGAAAUCCCCGGGCUUAACUCGGGGCCUGCAGGCGAAACUGUGGUGCUGGAGUAUGGGAGAGGUGCGUGGAAUUCCCGGUGUAGCGGUGAAAUGCGUAGAUAUCGUAAGGAAGACCAGUGGCGAAGGCGGGUCUCUGGACAGUUCCUGACACUGAGACACGAAGGCCAGGGGAGCAAACGGG